GGACGGGAGUAAGCAAUGGUGCUGGAGAAGCCUGACAAUGGAGAGACGUGGACGAGCAGUAGAGAACAUCUCUGGAAGGAGCCACAGUAAAUCAGCAGCAGCGGCUGUUGUCUCCAGGGAGGGAAAGAAGGGUGCAGAGAAGGAAGGAAGGCUUUUGUGAAUGUGGAGCUGUGUGCCUAUAAAAGCCAUUGACAUUUUCUCCGCAUAGGCAAGCCUGUCACCGGGAGCCGAGCUCAGAGGGACAGCACAGCUCCGAGCGCUGCCAACUGGCUCCCAUCAAGAAGUUAGAAGGGAGCCUGCAAAUGCAUUUCCUGUUAUCAUCUCUCUAGCCCAGAAAGACUUCCCCUUACGGGGCUGGGGGAGGGCAGGCGGGCGGCAGGCCCCUGGGAAGACCUGGGCAGGAAUAUUAAUGCCGGAACGACUCCCUAGCGCCGCGGCGGUCCUGGGAGGGUCUGGUUGCUGCGCAGCCCGCGGGAGGGACGGAUCCGAUGGCUCGCGGCAGGGGCACCCCGAGUCUAGUGAAAAACCAUCUCCUUGUUCUGGGCUGGACACCCCCAACACACUGCCUGGGCCUUGCCCGACCACCCGGGAGGCCCUCCUAAGCGCGAUCGGCGACAACGCUUUAUUCCUGGCGGGUGCAUCCGUCUCGCUGGGUCUAGAUAGAUAAUACAAUCUCUCUGCCCACACCCCAUUUGCUAGGAGACAGCCUGGGCUUCUGAAUUUUUUAUGGCCUCACUUAGCUUGGAGGAAAUCCAGAGGUCAAAGCCGGAGCAGACGCUCCAGUCACCUUGGCCGUCCGGGCGCGCAGCCUUGCCGAAACGGGCUCACCCACGGGGCCCUAAAU
ensembl:lncRNA